GGCGGUUAGAAUUUUCACUUACAAUGAAAAAUACCCUUUAGGGCGCUUUUAUAUUGCUAAAUAUUUAAUAA
rnacentral:tRNA from 1 species